rnacentral:lncRNA from 1 species
AAACAUUAGAAAUUCUACUCCGUAUAAGAAAAUUCAGAUAAUAUGCCCCUCCAGACUCCCCUGAUACCUCAUUGCCAGUCGCAUCUGAACCAAAAGCUACAUAUAACUGAGAACCUAACUAAGCUCAAAAUGAAGGACAAUACAUUCAAGAGUUUCACUGGGACAAUACAUUCAAGAGUUUCACUGGGUACCCAUUGCAAGAUCAUGCCAAGUAUCUUCAUUCACCUGUUGAGGCUCCUGGUCUGAAACAAAACAAAAGGAAGGAAAAAAAAAAACCCUUAAAAACAGUUAAAAAGCCAGUAGAUGAAGUCAGAUGGAAAAUAUACAAGAGCAAAAUCUGUGCAUGAUGCAUAACAAAUUAAGAGAACAAACAAUUGACAUUGGUGCACAGAUUACAUGUCUUCCCCAUACUACCAAUCACUGAACAGACAAAACAAAACCUCAAUAUGUGCAAACUUCAUCUUUAUGCAUUCGUUGGACACUGACAAUUACACACAAGCUCAGGUAAGGGGAAGAGAGAAAGAAAAUAUAACAGUUGCAUAUAUAUUAUCACUUAAAAUGAUGUCUGCGCUGUCCAAUAAUAGACAUGUUCGAUGAAGCACCAAAAGCCAUUAAGAUUGGCGGGCAUACUAUAUAUAAAGAAAGUUAUAACCAAAGAGACAUACUUGAGUCUUCAGUAUCAUCAGGUCGAACAACCAGCAC